CACCGCAGGAAUUAGAGAAAACUGGAGCCAGGAGGAGUUUUAAUAGGCAGAUUUUAGAGAUUAUCUGAACGUUCUCAUUUUGACAGAUGAGGAAACUGAGGCCCAGAGACUUGCUUCACCAGAUUAGAGGCUGAGUUGGGAGGGAGGAGAAGUCGGGUCCCAACCCAGGGGACAUUCCUCUAGCUAACGCAAGCUAGAAGGGGGGAUUCAGGCCAAGGAUACCUAACUCCCCAUGGGACUUCAGCUUCCGGGGGGAGUCCUCUUCCCUCUGCCGCCGUCUCCAAUCCGGAGGAAAGUUGCUGCUGGCCCCUCUAGCUGCCUGACCGCAGGUUUAUCUCCAGGAGGGUUGUCCCUAACGGGUGCAGGGUGGGAACAGGUGAGAGAAUCUCCCACAAGCCCCUCCUCCCUACAGGUGCCUCCCUUUCCUUUCCACCCGUGGAGAGCAGUGCUUUAUCAGCAAAUUGCCGGCUUGCGGGUCCGGAAAGAUAGCCGACUCGCCCGGGGCCUCGCAGGGUGUGUGUCGGACAUUCCCAGGUCUGUUUGAGCGCAGUAGGCGGCUAAUAACGAGCGGGGGGACGCCCUCCCCCGCGCCCUUGAUGCCCAGUCGGAGGCUCGUGUUCUCCCCCCAGGAGCCCUCGCGGCCUUUGAUGGAUGGGAGCCCGGAGAUCUGAGGCCCUCCUCUGCCCGGCGAGGGCUCAGCGUCAGGGGCUGAGGGCGGAAGGCGCUGUCCGUGCGGGGACAUGGGAGACAGGGAGAGGGCAGAGGAGCGCAAUGCGCGCCCGGCCAGUGUCAAGCGCCGUGCCGAGGAAGCGGAGGCUCCACCGCGGACGGGAACUGGGGCGCAGAGAGGGGCAAAGAUCGCAGCGCUGCGAGGGGCUUCGCAACAUUAAGAAAGGAAACGAGAUUCAGUCCCGGCUCCGCUAAUUCCAGUUCCUAAACCCUCCUCGCUACGUCACGUGGCGGGCGCAGAGUGGCGGGCCAGCUUCCUGCUUCCGAAACACGGGAAGGAACAAAGCGCCCGCGGGGUAGAAUUCGAACCUAGGACCCCGUAACCGAGAUUCGAAUUCCCCACCUGGCCCCGAGAGACUCGAGCGCACGGUCCUAACGUCACGCAGGCGUUGCUCGCUCCAGCCGAAGGCUUCGGGACUUCACCUCAGCGAUGCUCUCCGCUCCGGACCACCUCCUACCCCGCCGUCUCGGGGCCUAGCACCUCUACACCUCUUCCAGAGAACUACAGGGAGGCUGAGUGGUGACAGCGAUCUGAGAGGUCCAGGCUGACAUUCCAGACUGAAAGCAGUGGAAGAGUAGCUCCAACGUGGAUCUCCUGACUCGCUGCCAUCAAUCAGUCUCUAGCCAGCUGCUGCCCUUGUUUUCUUGCCUGUGCUCAGGCAGUAAUAACCAAGCAACUUUCCUGGAUGUGGUGGUCUACCACCGUAAUGGGAAAAUCUGAGUACAGUGGGACAAGGUAUGUAGAGUUAUAUUUUAUCACCUUUUGAGUCUUUUUUAAAUGAAUAAAAUGAGUAUUACUAUUUUCUUUAAAUUGUAUACAUGAUAUAUUGCUUACAGUUGAUAUGAAGGAAAGAGCUAAGACAUUAGUAGUUGAGGGUAUUCCUGAAUGUUGUACUUUUAGGAUCCUUUUAUCUUGAAAAUAUCUCUGGACCUUUUGAUUAGUCCUCUGGGAGAAACUGGAACAGCUGAUCCCUUAAGGAAGAAACUAUCCUUGUAUCUCUCUCUUCCUUUUCACCUCUGUGGCAGCUACCAUACACUCUCAUCCCUUCCUUCCUAGAAGACUGAAAUAGUCUCCUUACUGAUCUUCCUGCCUGUAAUUUAAUUCCUUUCCAAUCCACGUGCUGCACUAUUGCCCAAGUAAUUUUCCUUACACACUGCUUUCAUAUGUCACCUUUUACCUCAUAAAUUUUGAGUGGCUCCCCAUUGCCUACUGAAUUAAGUGAUCACCGCAUUCAAAACCCUCCAUGAUAUGGUACUACCCUAUCUUUCUGCCUUAUCUUCUUCGAAGCAUUUCCCUCAAUUAAUUUGCCUAUUCCUUUUAAAGAGAGAGGUAUGAUCAGACAUCUUAUUUGGCUACACUACAUAGGGACUUCCUCUGACUGACUUCAUCAUGUCCCAGGAAGUCCAUUACUGGAAAGUCUCAUCAGUCUGAGACAUCCCAAGAGUCCUGAUGCUCUUCAGUCUCUGCCCUUCUGAUUGGGGGAUAUCUUUCCCCAUUAGACUGUAAGUUUUGUAAGGGCAGAGAAUUUUUUUUUUUGUUGUUGUUGUUGUUGCAUUUGUAGCACUUAGCAUGGUGUCUGGCACAUAAGUGCUUAUAAAUGUUUAUUGACUGACAACAUUUUAAUCAAAACAUACUAUUCUUCAUCCUCAGUUCUUUUCAGUUCAAUUUAAUAAACAUUUUCCAUCACUCUUGUGUUUCGGUGCCUUUGCUCAUGGUAUCUAUGUUUGGACUGUCCUUACCUCCAUCCCCCAUUUAUUGAAGGUCCUUUAAGGCACAGCACAAGUAACAUAUUCUUCAAGUAUCUUUCAUUUACUUUCGUAGCUGAAGUUAUCUUUUCCUCCUCAAAGACCUUCUAGCAUUUUGUUUGCAUCUCUCCUUUGCCUUUAUCUUACCCUCAUUUAUGUCAUCAUUCUUAGAAUUAUAGGCUUAGAGCUAGAAGGAACAUUAGAGGAUAUGGAAUUCAGAAUUCUCAUUUCACUGAUGAGGAAACUGGGGCCCAGAGAAUUUAAGUAAUGUGACCAAGAUCACAGAAGAACUAAGUGUGAUUUGAAUCCAGGAUUUCCUGACUCCAGAGACCAAUGUUCUAUCCACAGUAUCAGCUUUCUCAAGAGUUUGGGCCUAGAGCUGAUGGCAGACAAUGUCAACAACUAACAACAUAGCUCAGGCUCGGAAGCUGGUGGAACAGCUCCGCAUCGAGGCUGGAGUGGAGAGGAUCAAGCAAAAUUUUACCUAUCUCAUGCCAGUCCUUCACAACCAACAGCAGCUGAGAAUGAAAAAAUAGAAAGAAGAAAGAAAUCUCCAUCACAGACAUGUUAUGCCA
rnacentral:lncRNA from 1 species